UGAUUCCAGUGCCGAAAGUCGGCAUCCACGACGUGCUUGCACGGGAGUGGAUGCAGGACUUUAUGGCACGCCCCCUUCAUGAGCAUGAAGCGAUGCGAAGCGGCGCGGGAAUGCGAAUGAAGGCAGCAUGGCGCGAGCUGCACCGCAGCGAAGCCAUGCGGGAAUCA
rnacentral:sRNA from 1 species